rnacentral:rRNA from 1 species
GUGAGAUUGUGAAGGGAUCUCGCAGGUAUCGUGAGGGAAGUAUGGGGUAGUACGAGCAGGAACUCCCAUGCCGUGCCUCUGGUUUCUGGAGUUUGUCGAACGGCAAGUGCUCCGACGCUAUCGCACGGUGGUUCUCGGCUGAACGCCUCUAAGCCAGAAGCCAAUCCCAAGACCAGAUGCCCAU